UACGAAGGGGGCUAGCGUUGCUCGGAAUCACUGGGCGUAAAGGGUGCGUAGGCGGGUCUUUAAGUCAGGGGUGAAAUCCUGGAGCUCAACUCCAGAACUGCCUUGAUACUGAAGAUCUUGAGUUCGGGAGAGGUGAGUGGAACUGCGAGUGUAGAGGUGAAAUUCGUAGAUAUUCGCAAGAACACCAGUGGCGAAGGCGGACUCACUGGCCCGAGUACUGACGCUGAGGCACGAAAGCGUG
rnacentral:rRNA from 1 species